AUUGAACGCUGGCGGCAGGCCUAACACAUGCAAGUCGAACGAGUGGCGGACGGGUGAGUAAUGUCUGGGAAACUGCCUGAUGGAGGGGGAUAACUACUGGAAACGGUAGCUAAUACCGCGUACCAUAGGAUGAGCCCAAGUGGGAUUAGGUAGUUGGUGAGGUAAAGGCUCACCAAGCCGACGAUCUCUAGCUGGUCUGAGAGGAUGACCAGCCACACUGGGACUGAGACACGGCCCAGACUCCUACGGGAGGCAGCAGUGGGGAAUAUUGCGCAAUGGGGGCAACCCUGACGCAGCCAUGCCGCGUGAAUGAAGAAGGCCUUCGGGUUGUAAAGUUCUUUCGGUAGCGAGGCGUUAACUACAGAAGAAGCACCGGCUAACUCCGUGCCAGCAGCCGCGGUAAUUC
rnacentral:rRNA from 1 species